rnacentral:rRNA from 1 species
AACGCUGGCGGCAUGCCUUACACAUGCAAGUCGAACGGCAGCACGGGAGCAAUCCUGGUGGCGAGUGGCGAACGGGUGAGUAAUAUAUCGGAACGUGCCCAGUCGUGGGGGAUAACGUAGCGAAAGCUACGCUAAUACCGCAUACGAUCUAUGGAUGAAAGCGGGGGAUCGCAAGACCUCGCGCGAUUGGAGCGGCCGAUAUCAGAUUAGGUAGUUGGUGAGGUAAAGGCUCACCAAGCCGACGAUCUGUAGCUGGUCUGAGAGGACGACCAGCCACACUGGGACUGAGACACGGCCCAGACUCCUACGGGAGGCAGCAGUGGGGAAUUUUGGACAAUGGGCGCAAGCCUGAUCCAGCAAUGCCGCGUGCAGGAUGAAGGCCUUCGGGUUGUAAACUGCUUUGUACGGAACGAAACGGUGAGCUCUAAUACAGUUUGCUAAUGACGGUACCGUAAGAAUAAGCACCGGCUAACUACGUG